rnacentral:rRNA from 1 species
AGAGUUUGAUCCUGGCUCAGAGCGAACGUUAGCGGCGGGCCUAACACAUGCAAGUCGAGCGAGAACAGGGCUUCGGCCCUUAGUAAAGCGGCGGACGGGUGAGUAACACGUAGGUAAUCUUCCCUUGAGCGGGGGACAACGAGCCGAAAGGCUCGCUAAUACCGCAUACGUUUCCAGAGGCCCCGGUCUUUGGAAGGAAAGCUAGGUAGCAAUAUCUGGCACUCGAGGAGGAGCCUGCGUCGCAUCAGCUAGUUGGUGGGGUAACGGCCUACCAAGGCGAAGACGCGUAGCUGGUCUGAGAGGAUGAUCAGCCACACUGGGACUGAGACACGGCCCAGACUCCUACGGGAGGCAGCAGUGAGGAAUAUUGCACAAUGGGCGAAAGCCUGAUGCAGCAACGCCGCGUGAGGGACGAAGGCCUUCGGGUCGUAAACCUCUUUUCUGAGGGACGAGACCAGGACGGUACCUCGGGAAUAAGUCUCGGCUAACUACGUGCCAGCCGCCGCGGUAAUAC